CACUGCAUACAAAAUGAAAAAAAGAAAAGAAAAAGAAACCGACAUUAAAGGUUAAACCCAUAGAUGUAGAGAACCCCAAAAUUCAGAGCUGACGGGAGUUUUCAAAGGAAAAGGCAGAGCCUGCGGGAGGAAGAUUCAAGGAUGUCUGAUUUGGCUUCUCUGCAGCUUCUGCUGGCAACCUACCUUUUCUUGGCAGUGGAAAGAAGAUGUCAUUGGAAUGGCAACGGAAAGAAGAUGUGAUGCGGAAGCAGCAAGCAGCUAAGUGGCAGCCUUGGGGGAAGGCAAUAGGGCAGCGACAACUCAAGGAAGGGAGUGGCGAGCAACUGAGGCAAAGGAACAGCAGAGCAGCUCGAGGAAGGGAUUAGCAAGCAGCUUAGGGAGAGAAAGAAGCAAGGCAGCGACAACUCUAGGAAGGGUGCAGCGGCAGCCACAACCGCAGGGAUAAAGGGAGGGAGCUUCCCUAGUUUGUGGCCUUCGAAAGAAGAAGCAUAAGGAAGGUGGUGAUGGGUUGAGGUCGAGAUCUGAGGGCUGUAGGUAAGAUUUGAGGAUAAAGGGAGCAGGAGGAGACAAACGGACAGAGCUAGGAAUGAUAGACGGAAAGGAAAGGACAAAAUAGACGUUUUGGUCCUUGAAACAUGCUGCUCACGGCAAGUUCAUCCCCGAAAGAUUUUCCCUAUACUAAUUGGUCCGACCGUUUGAAACGUUUGGACCAAUUGGUCCUUCCGUUGGAAAAAACGUUGGUCCUUGGGCAGAAGAUCUCUUAGACGCCGUGAGCUUGGUCGCCCCCUUCUUCUCCUCUUCUCUUCUCGGCUUCCCGCUCGAAAUUACCCCAAUUCUUCUCUUCUCUUCUCGGUUUCCCUGCCUUCUUCCGAUUCAGUGAAGAAAUUGCCCCAGCCGGCCGUGAGAUUUCUUCUGAGAAGGCUGAUUGUUCUCAAGAUUUCUUCCGAUUCAGUCAGCCGUGAGAAGCCCGAAUGUUGCACAUCGGGAGCAGGGCUAUUAUGAAGUUGAAAUCGUGGUUUCUGGUGGUUGCCCUAAUCAGCUCCAAAUUGCCCCAAAUCGAUCAAACCCUAAAUCGCAUGGCUGUUGGAGAGUCCGAGCCCUAGCCAUGAUCGAUGAGGGUGGCAUUACGGAAAAGCGAGGUGCCAAGUCCUAUGAUCUGAACGCCCAUCUACAAGGGAGACAAACAAACCACCGAGCUUCAGAAUACAUGAUGGUUUUAUACGCAUUUCAUAUCUGACAAAGCUUAUUAUUAGCCCAUUUGGAAGCGACAUUGAACAGAGACAGUACAAGCAGAUAGAGAGAACAGAGAGGGGAAUCACAACAGAUAUGAGAGGUGAGGGAAGCCAUUGGAAUGGGACAAACUAAUAUGUCCAAAAGUCCACGACUUAUUCACCAGUUGAGGAAUCAGUCAAUCUCUGUGGGUGUGGAAGGAAGCUCCUAUUACAAACAUCUACAAAGAAAUAAAGCUAUGGUAGGCGUUUCCUUGGUUGUCCCUUAUGGAAAAGAAGUGAUCUUACAUGUGGAUACUUUGAAUGGGUUGAUAAUGAGGAGCAACUUGAAGUGCAGCAGACUGCAAGACCUCGGAUUGGAGCUUCUUUUACAUCCCCAAAGAAAGAAGCUUUAAAUGGAGAAGAUAACAAGCUCAUGAAGAAGAUGAAGAAGAAAAUUCAAAUGUAUGAACAUGAAAACAAAAUGCUUAAGAUUGCAUGUGAUGUAUUGGUUUUCAUCAUUGUUUUAGUCUUAGUUUGUGUUGUAUUGAGAUGACUCUGUUAUUGCUAAUAUAAUACAAUGUUUGACUUU